GUAGGGGUGCAAGCGUUAUCCGGGAAUCAUUGGGCGUAAAGAGCUCGUAGGCGGUUCAGCAAGUCGGCUGUGAAAUCCCGAGGGCUUAACCUCGGAACUGCAGUCGAUACUGCUGUGACUAGAGUCCGGUAGAGGAGAAUGGAAUUCCCGGUGUAGCGGUGAAAUGCGCAGAUAUCGGGAGGAACACCAGUAGCGAAGGCGGUUCUCUGGGCCGGUACUGACGCUGAGGAGCGAAAGCGUGGGUAGCAAACAGGAUUAGAUACCCUGGUAGUCCACGCCGUAAACGUUGGACACUAGGUGUGGCGUUCCGACCAACGGGUGCCGUGCCGAAGCUAACGCAUUAAGUGUCCCGCCUGGGGAGUACGGCCGCAAAGGCUAA
rnacentral:rRNA from 1 species